rnacentral:rRNA from 1 species
AUACGUAGGUGGCGAGCGUUAUCCGGAUUUACUGGGUGUAAAGGGCGCGUAGGCGGGCAUGCAAGUCAGAUGUGAAAACUAUGGGCUCAACCCAUAGACUGCAUUUGAAACUGUUGUUCUUGAGUGAAGUAGAGGUAAGCGGAAUUCCUGGUGUAGCGGUGAAAUGCGUAGAUAUCAGGAGGAACAUCGGUGGCGAAGGCGGCUUACUGGGCUUUUACUGACGCUGAGGCUCGAAAGCGUGGGGAGCAAACAGGAUUAGAUACCCUGGUAGUCCACGCUGUAAACGAUGAUUACUAGGUGUGGGGGGACUGACCCCUUCCGUGCCGCAGUUAACACAAUAAGUAAUCCACCUGGGGAGUACGGCCGCAAGGUUGAAACUCAAAUGAAUGGACGGGG